rnacentral:rRNA from 1 species
AAGUCGAGCGGACAGAAGGGAGCUUGGUCCCGGAUGUUAGCGGCGGACGUGUGAGUAACACGUGGGUAACCUGCCUGUAAGACUGGGAUAACUCCGGGAAACCGGAGCUAAUACCGGAUAGUUCCUUGAACCGCAUGGGUCAAGGAUGAAAGACGGUUUCGGCUGUCACUUACAGAUGGACCCGCGGCGCAUUAGCUAGUUGGUGGGGUAAUGGCUCACCAAGGCGACGAUGCGUAGCCGACCUGAGAGGGUGAUCGGCCACACUGGGACUGAGACACGGCCCAGACUCCUACGGGAGGCAGCAGUAGGGAAUCUUCCGCAAUGGACGAAAGUCUGACGGAGCAACGCCGCGUGAGUGAUGAAGGUUUUCGGAUCGUAAAGCUCUGUUGUUAGGGAAGAACAAGUGCGAGAGUAACUGCUCGCACCUUGACGGUACCUAACCAGAAAGCCACGGCUAACUACGUGCCAGCAGCCGCGGUAAUACGUAGGUGGCAAGCGUUGUCCGGAAUUAUUGGGCGUAAAGGGCUCGCAGGCGGUUUCUUAGGUCUGAUGUGAAAGCCCCCGGCUCAACCGGGGAGGGUCAUUGGAAACUGGGAAACUUGAGUGCAGAAGAGGAGAGUGGAAUUCCACGUGUAGCGGUGAAAUGCGUAGAGAUGUGGAGGAACACCAGUGGCGAAGGCGACUCUCUGGUCUGUAACUGACGCUGAGGAGCGAAAGCGUGGGGAGCGAACAGGAUUAGAUACCCUGGUAGUCCACGCCGUAAACGAUGAGUGCUAAGUGU